rnacentral:rRNA from 1 species
UACGAAGGGUGCGAGCGUUGUUCGGAAUUAUUGGGCGUAAAGGGUUCGUAGGCGGGAAGAUAAGUCAAGUGUGAAAUCCCUGAGCUUAACUCAGAACGUGCAUUUGAAACUGUUUUUCUUGAGUGUUGGAGAGGGUCGUGGAAUUGCUGGUGUAGGAGUGGAAUCCGUAGAUAUCAGCAGGAACACCAGAGGCGAAGGCGGCGACCUGGCCAUACACUGACGCCGAGGAACGAAAGCGCGGGGAGCAAAC